rnacentral:rRNA from 1 species
UACGAGGGGGGCAAAUGUUGCUCGGAAUCACUGGGCGUAAAGCGCACGUAGGCGGAUCGUUAAGUCGGGGGUGAAAUCCUGGAGCUCAACUCCAGAACUGCCUUCGAUACUGAGAGUCUCGAGUCCGGGAGAGGUGAGUGGAACUGCGAGUGUAGAGGUGAAAAUUCGUAGAUAUUCGCAAGAACACCAGUGGCGAAGGCGGCUCACUGGCCCGAUACUGACGCUGAGGCACGAAAGCGUGGGGAGCAAACAGG